rnacentral:rRNA from 1 species
AACGAACGCUGGCGGCAGGCUUAACACAUGCAAGUCGAGCGCCCCGCAAGGGGAGCGGCAGACGGGUGAGUAACGCGUGGGAACGUACCUUUUGGUUCGGAACAACUCCGGGAAACUGGGGCUAAUACCGGAUAAGCCCUAACGGGGAAAGAUUUAUCGCCGAAAGAUCGGCCCGCGUCUGAUUAGCUAGUUGGUGAGGUAACGGCUCACCAAGGCGACGAUCAGUAGCUGGUCUGAGAGGAUGAUCAGCCACACUGGGACUGAGACACGGCCCAGACUCCUACGGGAGGCAGCAGUGGGGAAUAUUGGACAAUGGGCGCAAGCCUGAUCCAGCCAUGCCGCGUGAGUGAUGAAGGCCUUAGGGUUGUAAAGCUCUUUUGUCCGGGAAGAUAAUGACUGUACCGGAAGAAUAAGCCCCGGCUAACUUCGUG